rnacentral:rRNA from 1 species
CCUACGGGUGGCUGCAGUGGGGAAUUUUGCGCAAUGGACGAAAGUCUGACGCAGCAACGCCGCGUGGGUGAUGAAGGUCUUCGGAUUGUAAAACCCUGUCGUCGAGGACGAAGGUCGGAGUGUUAAUAGCACUUUGGCUUGACGGUACUCGGAGAGGAAGCCCCGGCUAACUCUGUGCCAGCAGCCGCGGUAAUACAGAGGGGGAAAGCGUUAUUCGGAAUUAUUGGGCGUAGAGGGCGCGUUGGGGGGUGCAAUCCCCGAGCUCAACUUGGGAACUGCAUCCGAGACUGGAAGGCUAGAGUACUGGAGAGGUUGGUGGAAUUCCACGUGUAGCGGUGAAAUGCGUAGAGAUGUGGAGGAACACCAGUGGCGAAGGCGGCCAACUGGACAGUAACUGACGCUGAGGCGCGAAAGUGUGGGUAGCAAACAGGAUUAGAUACCCCGGUAGUC